AAAAACCCAUUGGGUGCUUUCACAUUCCACAGCACAAAAGGGGAAGGUUUGAGAAGCCAGCGUGAUAGAUGGCAGCCUGGACUCUCAGCGCUUCCCUCGUCUGCCUGGCGGGAUGAACUGUUGCAGGAAGCCGGGAUAAACUGACUUGACCCCUAGUGAAAAGCGGCUGCAAACUGGAAACAAAAGCAUCCGCAUGCCCUGAAAAACCCUCGCGUUGCGCGGAUCGUUGCAAUUGGCGUGAAAAUAGCAAUCUGCGAUUAAAUUU